UUAAAUAUAUAUUAUUUUCAUUUAGUACCCUCUUUAGCCAGAAUCUCAUUACUGCUUCAUUUUUGUAAUAACAUUUAAUUUAGGUAUUUUCCAUAUAUUGGCCCUGCUAAAAAAUAGAAUAUAGCAUCUUUCAUAUGAUAGGAACCAACAGGGAAACUUUCCUUUAAUUCCCUUUUUACACUUUAUGGUAAGUAGCAGGGGGGAAAUGCAUAUAUAGAUCGUUCCUAGGCAAAACUGUGAAGCUAACAACCAACCUAUUUCUACCUAUGUGCAGUCUCUUUUAUUUUACUAGAAAUGGGAAUCAUGGCCUCUUGAAAANAAAAAGUCACCAUUCUGCAUUUAGCUGUAUUCAUUUAUUGCAUUUCUGUAUUUUUUUGUUUGUAUUGUAAAAAAUUCACAUAAUAAACAAUGUUGUGAUGUAAUUGAGUGUGGCGUGUUAAAUAUUCUGCAGUUGAUAGGAGUGUGUUUGAGAAGAAACUUUUCAAUUUGAAUUUGCCUUCUCCAUGAUUGUAACUCUUGUUUGUUUCAUUUAGAAUGCACUUGUGCUGAUUUUCUAAUUUACAGAAUAUAGUAUCUUAUCUACU
rnacentral:lncRNA from 1 species